rnacentral:lncRNA from 1 species
AUGGCUGAUAGGCCAUGUCAUCGGUUGCGUUUGUCUGCAGUGUUCUGGAAGGGCACAAACGAACCUCUGCAUCACGGCUCCCUAAUUGGAUACAACUGUGAGUUUUGCUCAGUUUCAAGAUCUUUACGUUGCAGUUCAGGAAAGCUGCCAAGAUCCCCAGUUGUUAACAAGAAUGUCAUUCCUUGUGUGUGCGAGCCUCCCUUCAGCCUGUAUUUGCUGGAGAACCUCUGCAGGUUCAAAGCGUCCCACCGUGACGACAGUCCGGGUGGGUAUUUUGGGUAUUUCGUAUCCAAGUGCUUAACUUCAGAGCACUCGAGUGAGAAGGCCGCUCCUCCUCCUCAGAUACUUGGAACCUUUCCCACUGAAGUUAUCCACCUGCAGACAGGCGGUUUGGAUGUCAUUUUGUGGUGCUGUCCCAGCCUGCAGCUCCAAGAAGCCAGGACAGACCGAGGAAAGAUCUUCAAAAAAUGACGAGCAUCUGGAUAAAGCCUGUGGGUAGCUGCUGCCUGGCAGCCUCGGGGACAUUCAGCAGCUGCCCUCCCCUGGGUGAAGGCAAGCACUGGCAAUAGGAGGCUGAGCAUCACCCCCAAAUCCACCCAUCUUCCAUCCACUGAAAGCCAUCAGAUGCUCCUAGCUGCUCCGGUACCAAAGGGAAAGGCUGAAGACCAUCUGGAUGAGAAAUCAAUAGUUCUGCCAAGGCAGAAAUACCUGCAGGCAAGGCAGGGUGGUGGUGGAGCUCCGUGUGCCCUCGCUGCCAGCCUCAGUGCUGCCAGAAGGGACUGGAGGCUGCAACAGGCGGGGCACUGGGUGAGCAGAAUGGUCCUUUCUGGACUUGAUUAAAGCCUGAGAGUUUUUACCCAGUUUUUGGAUGUUCUUCAUUGCCCUUGCAUUUGAACGGGGGCCAAAAAGGUGGGAUCCAGAUUGCAGGCAUUGUCCUGGUGCAUCUCGCUGGGCAAGGGCUGCUGUUCUUGGUCUCCGUGGGCUGCAGCGAGGUCAGCUGGCACCCCGCAGCCCUUGAGACCCAGGAUCCCUCCAGGCUGUGCUGUUUUGGUGAUGCAGGUCAGCAGUUAUCAUCCCAUGACAUGGGGCCACGCUGCCAGCUCAAGAUGCAGGCUCGGUGUAGGAGGCUGCCAAGACACCUCACCAGAUGCAUAUUGUCUCUUUGUUCCUCUGAAAACCACAAAAAAGUUUCUCCCUUCACAGUUCAGUGAUGCCCAGACAAAGAUGACGUGAAAUCUGUGGGAAGACUUAUUUUAUUACAAUAUAGGAAUUCACAGAACCAGAUGUUUAAACUUAGCCAUUGCUCCUCCAUACGAGCACCGCUGCCCAUGCUCAAUGGAACUGUUUGCAAGAUAAUUUACAACGCUUUAAACAUGUCCACUGCUGCUUGGGUCUCCAAAAGCCGCUCCGAGGCAGGGCAGAUGCCACAGCGUGUCCCCCGCGUUCCCCAGGGCCACAGGACCCAGCGGAG